rnacentral:rRNA from 1 species
CCUACGGGAGGCAGCAGUGAGGAAUAUUGGUCAAUGGACGAGAGUCUGAACCAGCCAAGUAGCGUGAAGGAUGACUGCCCUAUGGGUUGUAAACUUCUUUUAUAUGGGAAUAAAAUGUUCCACGUGUGGGAUUUUGUAUGUACCAUAUGAAUAAGGAUCGGCUAACUCCGUGCCAGCAGCAGGGGUAAUACGGAGGAUCCGAGCGUUAUACGGAUUUAUUGGGUUUAAAGGGAGCGGAGGGGGAUUGUUAAGUCAGUUGUGAAAGUUUGCGGCUCAACCGUAAAAUUGCAGUUGAAACUGGCAGUCUUGAGUACAGUAGAGGUGGGCGGAAUUCGUGGUGUAGCGGUGAAAUGCUUAGAUAUCACGAAGAACUCCGAUUGCGAAGGCAGUUCACUGGACUGCAACUGACACUGAGGCUCGAAAGUGUGGGUAUCAAACAGGAUUAGAUACCCCAGUAGUC